rnacentral:lncRNA from 1 species
AAACAAGCUUUGUAUGAAGGUUCUUCAGCUCUCUAGAGGCAAAGGCUUGAAGAAAAAGGAAGCAGCAUGGUACUCUUCUUCAAAUUUUCAAAUGUUAUUUGAACAGUAACGGUAAGACUCUGAGGAGCUGAGGAGCACUGAAAAUUUAAAAUUCUUGUCAUGUGUAUCUUUUGUCUUGGGAGGACAUUGGCUUUAUCAUAUUUGUAGUGGAGGGCCUCUAAGCCUUAGGUAAAGAAAUAUGAACUCUAAUGAUUAAGGCUCAAACCCCUGAGCCAGAAGUGAGCUCAUGCCAGUAGCACUGAGCUGGAUGGGCUUUUGUUUCAGAAGCAGGUAUGUGAUGAUAUCAGCCGACGCUUGGCACUGCUUCACGAACAGUGGGAUGGAGGGAAGUUGUCAGUACCUGUAAAGAAGAGGAUGGCACUGCUGGUACAAGAACUUUUACACCACCAGUGGGAUACAGCAGAUGACAUUCAUCGAUCACUCAUGGUUGACCAUGUGACUGAGGUCAGUCAGUGGAUGGUGGGAGUUAAAAGAUUAAUUGCAGAAAAGAGGAGUCUAUCUUCAGAGGAGAACAAAGAAGAGACAUCUACAGUGGCACCUGAGAACCAGACAAUACCAGGCUUCCAACCAUCUUCAUAAUGCCGGUGGCUCCCCAGACUCACCUCACAUGACUUCUAUGCCUUAGUGUGGACGGCCUCUUCUCACUUGGCUCCCUUUUACCACCAGGGAGACUGCUGGUCUUGAUGGGCCUGACCAAAGAUCCUACCUAGGCUACUGCAAGAUCACUUGUUACUCAUGUGUACAUUUCAAUAAACUUCUCAAUGGUGGGAAGUGGGUAGGAAAGGUGAGCCAUUCUGAGCCAGACUGGUUCUUUCUGAUGUCAGCUCCCCUGCUCCAUGGAUACUACUGCUUGUUCCAUUCAUCAAGAAGGGCCUUGACAGGGAUAACCAGAUUGCUCCUGCUCUUCUCAAAGUUAGACUGGAAAGUGUAUUUAUAAUGUGGCAUGGUGUCUUUGGAUAAUAUCAUUUCAGCCUGAGAAUAGACUCAAACAACUGGAAAUUUCCUUUCAGAAGAAACCAUUCCUUUUCUUCUAUUUCUGGUGUGUUGCUAUAGGGAGUAGAACCAGUAAUUGGGUUUUCUGCUGUUUAAACUGAAGGAGAAAAAGACCAGAUUUCUGCAUUCUUGUUGGGUGUUGCAUACACCUGUAGUCUGAACAGUUGAGACAUGGAGACUGAGAGAGGAGUUCAAGGUUACCCUGUACUACAACUACAUAGUGACUUGAGGCCAGCCAAAACUACAUUGCUCUCCUAUUCCAACAACUGGAGUACUGAUAUUGGGGUCAGGAUAAUCUGAUUUACUGAACAAGGUGAUGCCUAAUUUGGGUUUCAGUGUAGGCCCUAAAUUCUUUUAAAGAAAGAUUUAUAGGGGUUGGGGAUUUAUAGCUCAGUGGUAGAGCGCUUGCUAGGCCCUGGGUUCAGUCCCCAGAUCCGAAAAAAAAGAAAAAAAAAAAAAGA